rnacentral:sRNA from 1 species
GCUGGGUGAGGUGGAGCAUACCUGUAAUCCCAGUGACUCAGGAGGCUGAGGUAGGAGGACAGACAGGUUGGAGGACAGCCUGAGCAACUCAGUGAGACCCUAUCUCAA